GACGAACGCUGGCGGCGUGCUUAACACAUGCAAGUCGAACGGAAAGGCCCUGCUUUUGUGGGGUGCUCGAGUGGCGAACGGGUGAGUAACACGUGAGUAACCUGCCCUUCACUUUGGGAUAACUUCAGGAAACUGGGGCUAAUACCGGAUAGGAGCUCCUGCUGCAUGGUGGGGGUUGGAAAGUUUCGGCGGUUGGGGAUGGACUCGCGGCUUAUCAGCUUGCUGGUGGGGUAGUGGCUUACCAAGGCUUUGACGGGUAGCCGGCCUGAGAGGGUGACCGGCCACAUUGGGACUGAGAUACGGCCCAGACUCCUACGGGAGGCAACGGUGGAGAAUAUUACACAAUGGGCGGAAGCCUGAUGCAACAACGCCGCGUGCGGGAUGACGGCCUUCGGGUUGUAAACCACUUUCGCCUGAGACGAAGCGUGAGUGACGGUAAUGGGUAAAGAAGCACCGGCUAACUACGUG
rnacentral:rRNA from 1 species